rnacentral:rRNA from 1 species
UCCAGGCGGCUGACUUCACGCGUUAGCUACGUUACUCAGGAUGUAAAUCCCGAACAACUAGAUCAGCAUCGCUUUAGGGCGUGGACUACCAGGGUAUCUAAUCCUGUUUGCUCCCCACGCUUUCGUGCAUGAGNGUCAGUGUUAUCCCAGGGGGCUGCCUUCGCCAUUGGUAUUCCUCCACAUAUCUACGCAUUUCACUGCUACACGUGGAAUUCUACCCCCCUCUGACACACUCUAGCUAUACAGUCACAGGCGCCAUUCCCAGGUUAAGCCCGGGGAUUUCACGCCUGUCUUGUAUAACCGCCUGCGCACGCUUUACGCCCAGUAAUUCCGAUUAACGCUCGCACCCUACGUAUUACCGCGGCUGCUGGCACGUAGUUAGCCGGUGCUUAUUCUUCAGGUACCGUCAUUCCCGGACUGUGUUAGAGCCGGUGUUUCUUCCCUGACAAAAGAGCUUUACAACCCGAAGGCCUUCUUCACUCACGCGGCAUUGCUGGAUCAGGGUUUCCCCCAUUGUCCAAAAUUCCCCACUGCUGCCUCCCGUAA